GUGUCAGCCGCCGCGGUAAGACGAGCUCUCCAAACGUUAUUCGGUAUCACUGGGCUUAAAGAGUUCGUAGGCGGUCUGGUAGGUGAGGUGUGAAAUCCCCCGGCUCAACCGGGGAACUGCGCUUCAAACCGCCGGACUUGAGGGAGACAGAGGUGGGCGGAACAGAUGGUGGAGCGGUGAAAUGCGUUGAUAUCAUCUGGAACACCGGUGGCGAAAGCGGCCCACUGGGUCUCAUCUGACGCUGAGGAACGAAAGCUAGGGUAGCGAACGGGAUUAGAUACCCCCGUAGUCC
rnacentral:rRNA from 1 species